GGAGGCCAUGAUCUGAAUCAUGGAGGUUUCCUGUGGCCAAGCAGAAAGUAUUGAGAAGCUCAACGCUGAAGACAUGACAUCCAAAGACUACUAUUUUGACUCCUAUGCUCACUUUGGUAUCCACAAGAAGAUGCUAAAGGAUGAGGUGCUUACCCUCAGAUACCACAACUCCAUGUUUCACAGUUACCAUCUCUUCCAUGACAAGGGAUGCUAGAUGGUGUCUCAGGCACUGGCAUUCUCUGCACGUUUGCUGCCAUGGCAGGGGCUGGCAAGUUUAUUGGGAUUGAGUGUUCCAGUGUCUCCAAUUAUGCUGUAAAGAUUAUCAAAGCCAACAAGUUAAACCAUGUGGUGGCCAUCAUCAGGUGCAAGGUGGAGGAGGUGGAGCUGCCUGUGGAGAAGGUAGACAUCAUCAUCAGCAAGUGGAUGGGUUACUGCCUCUUCUAUGAGUUCAUGCUCAACACCAUGCUGCAUGCUUGUGACAAGUGGCUGCCACCCAAUGGCCUCAUCUUCCCAGACCGUGCCAUUCUGUAUGUGACAGCCAUUGAGGACCGGCAGUAUAAAGACUACAAGAUCCACUGGUGGGAGAAUGUAUAUGGUUUUGAUAAGUCCUUCAAUAAAGAUGGGGCCAUCAAGGAGCACCUGGUAGAUGUGGUGAACCAAAAACAGCUGGUCACCAAUACCUGCCUCAUAAAGAAGAUGGAUAUCUACACAGUCAAGGUGGAGGACCUGACCCUCACGUCCCCCUUUUGCUUGCAAGUGAAGAGUAAUGACUAUGUGCAUGCACUGGUGGUGCACUUCAACAAUGAGUUUACUGGAUGCCACAAGAGGACUGCCUUCUCUACUAGUUCUGAGUCCCUGUACACACACUGGAAGCAGACUGUGUUCUACAUGCAGGAUUACCUAACAGUGAAGACUGGUGCAGAAUGAGGCCUCAUUAGAAUGAAGCUUAACGCCAAGACUAAUCAUGACUUGGACUUUACCCUUUACCUACACUUCAAGGGUCAACUGUGCAAGCUCUCUUGUUCCACCAACUACUGGAUGCACUGA